rnacentral:lncRNA from 1 species
GGGGAGGAGGAAGGAGGGAGGUCCAGGCCCUUCUUCCAUCCCACGUCCUCCACUUCCCAAGGUGCAAGAAGAAAAGAGGUACAGAACACCCAGAGGUGCCCUCGAUUCCGUCUUGCACUUGCCCUUCUCCCACCGUCCAGCAAUAAAGCGAGAGAAACAAGUGCAGGAAACUGGCCGGCAGUCAUGGGAGAAGCCAAAAAGACAGGAGUUCAGUGGCAUGACCAGGGCUCACUGCAACCUUGAUCUGGGCUCAAGUGAUCCUCCUACCUCAGCUUCCUGAGUAGCUAGGACCACAGGUGUGCACCAACCACACCCGACUAAUUUUUGUAGAGAUGAGAUCCCACUAUGUUACCCAGGCUGGUCUUGAACUCCUGGGCUCAGGUGAUCAUCCUGCCUUGGCUUCCCAAAGUACUGGGAUUAUAGGCUUGAGCCACCGUGCCUGGCCUGUGAUCAGAAUUCUCAUUUUUUUAGUCACUAAAAAUGCUGGGGGGCACUCCAUUCUCCAUUAUGUGAUUAGUUCACAUUGCAUGCUUGUAUCAAAACAUCAUAUAUACCCCACAAAUAUAUACAAAAAACUUUAAAAUUUUAAGUAUUAAUUGCUCAGGAAAAAAUUAAAAUGCUGGGGUGCUGAAAUCUCAAGGGCCCCAUUACAAAACUCCUUAGGAACCUCGCCCUCUCUCUGCUGUAAGGACUGGUUCCAGAAUGAGAGAAUUUAAAAGACAUUCCCCCCCCAAAAUGUUCAUAAUGUCACCCCGGAAACCUGCGAAUAUGUUAUAUUACAUGACCAGGGAGAAGUAAGGUUGCAGAUGGCAGUAAGGUUGCUAAUGGGCUGACCUUAAGAUAAGGAGAUGAUCCUGGAUUAUCUGGGUGGACCCAAUGUAAUCACAAGGGUCCUUAACUGUGGAAUAGUGAGGUGGCUGAGUCAGAGGCAGAGUGAUGCAAUGACUGAAAGACUUAACCAGCCAUCACCGGCUUUGAAUACGGAAGACGGUCAUGAGCCAGGGAAUGCAGGCAGGCUCUGGGAGCUGAAAAAAGCAAGAAAAUGGAUUCUCCCCUGGAGCCUCCAGAAGGGAUGCGGUCCUGCCAACCCCUUGUCAGUGAGCCAUUUCAGAUUUCUGACUUCCAGGACUGUAAGAAAAUAAACUUGUCUUGUUUUCAGCCA